rnacentral:rRNA from 1 species
CAGUCGCCGCGGGAAUACGAAGGGUGCAAGCGUUACUCAGAAUUACUGGGCGUAAAGCGUGCGUAGGCGGUUUGUUAAGUCUGUUGUGAAAUCCCCGGGCUCAACCUGGGAAUGGCAAUGGAUACUGGCAAGCUAGAGUGUGUCAGAGGAUGGUGGAAUUCCCGGUGUAGCGGUGAAAUGCGUAGAGAUCGGGAGGAACAUCAGUGGCGAAGGCGGCCAUCCGGGACAACACUGACGCUGAGGCACGAAAGCGUGGGGAGCAAACAGGAUUAGAUACCCCUGUAGUCCCUGUCUCUUAUAC